rnacentral:rRNA from 1 species
GACGAACGCUGGCGGCGUGCCUAAUACAUGCAAGUAGAACGCUGAAGAGAGGAGCUUACUCUUCUUGGAUGAGUUGCGAACGGGUGAGUAACGCGUAGGUAACCUGCCUUGUAGCGGGGGAUAACUAUUGGAAACGAUAGCUAAUACCGCAUAACAAUGGAUGACACAUGUCAUUUAUUUGAAAGGGGCAAUUGCUCCACUACAAGAUGGACCUGCGUUGUAUUAGCUAGCAGGUGAGGUAAUGGCUCACCUAGGCGACGAUACAUAGCCGACCUGAGAGGGUGAUCGGCCACACUGGGACUGGGACACGGCCCAGACUCCUACGGGAGGCAGCAGUAGGGAAUCUUCGGCAAUGGGGGCAACCCUGACCGAGCAACGCCGCGGGAGUGAAGAAGGGUUUCGGAUCGUAAAGCUCUGUUGUAAGUCAAGAACGGGUGUGAGAGUGGAAAGUUCACACUGUGACGGUAGCUUACCAGAAAGAGACGGCUAACUACGUG